GACGAACGCUGGCGGCGUGCUUAACACAUGCAAGUCGAACGGAAAGGCCCGGCGCUUGUGGGGUGCACGAUUGGCGAGCGGGUGAGUAACACGUGAGUAACCUGCACUUGACUGAGGGAUAACAUCAGGAGACAGGGGCGAAAACCGGAUAGAAGCUACUGCUGCAUGGUGGUGGUUGGAAAGUUUCGGCGGUGCGGGCUGGUCUCGCUGGUUACGCGCUUGUUGGUGUGGUAGUGGCUGACCAAGGCUUUGACGGGUAGCCGGCCUGAGAGCUUGACCGGCGACAUUGGGACUGCGAUACGGCCCAGACUCCUACGGGAGGCAGCAGUGGGGAAUAUUGCACAAUGGGCGGAAGCCUGAUGCAGCAACGCCGCGUGCGGGAUGACGGCCUUCGGGUUGUAAACCGAUUUCGCCUGUGACGAAGCGUGAGUGACGGUAAUGGGUAAAGAAGCAACGGCUAACUACGUG
rnacentral:rRNA from 1 species